rnacentral:rRNA from 1 species
GAUCAUGGCUCAGGAUGAACGCUGGCGGCGUGCUUAACACAUGCAAGUCGAGCGAAGCAAUCUAAGUGAAGUUUUCGGAUGGAUCUUAGAUUGACUGAGCGGCGGACGGGUGAGUAACGCGUGGAUAACCUGCCUCACACAGGGGGAUAACAGUUAGAAAUGACUGCUAAUACCGCAUAAGCGCACAGUACCGCAUGGUACAGUGUGAAAAACUCCGGUGGU